UAAGAGCAAUUUUAUUAUGUUAAGAUUAUAUAUUGUACAUUUCAAGUACAUAUAUAUAUAUCUACAUAUAUAAAAAUAUAAAAAAAAAAAUUAUAAAUAAAUAUAUAUUUGCUUAAAAAAAAAAAAAACUUGAAGUUAGCACGAUAAUCAGGGCAUAAGAUGUUAUAAAUUGUGAGCAUCCUAUGCAGUACAAGUUUGUGCACAAUU
rfam:Plasmodium falciparum IGH-CR14 genomic scaffold supercont1.506, whole genome shotgun sequence.